GCUCCUGCCGCUCUGAUGUUGCUAGACCUCCUCAGCACUCAGCCCAAGGCAGCCAGGAAGAAUGAACGAAUGGUGAUUCAGAGGGAAAGGAGGAAGCUGCGUGGCAUUUCAGAGAUACUUAUUUUAAAACUGCUGGUGGCCAUGUCUUCUUUUCAUAUCAGAGCUAAUGAGUUUUGAUAUGUGAACAUUUCUUCUCCUUCAUAGAAAACUCUGCUUCACAAACACAGGAUAUUGGAAAUGGAAGUGGGCUUUUCAGUGCUUUGGGAACAAUCACAGGAGAUUCUGCCUUGGCUGUAAUCCAGAACGUAUGGAGAUUUGAAGUUGUCGCAAACAUACUUUGAAGGCCACCAGAUGCAGCUGUACAAUUGAAGUCCAUCAGCUCACUUGCCUCAAUAAAGCCUGCCACUGCA
rnacentral:lncRNA from 10 species